GGGGGCGUAAAGGUUUCGACGGGGAUUGUGAAUUACGAUAAGCGAGUAGCGGUGCGGACCCGCUAUAAAAGCCGUAUUAUUUAAUAAAUAACAAUAAUAAAUUAGCUUUAGCGGCUUAAUGCCGCUCGUCUCUGCAGUGAGUACUACGGCUCUGUAAGAGGCGUCGAUUAGUAGUGAACGUGAGUGAGGGAGCGCUUUGGCCCUUUCCAUGCAUCAAAAGCUACCGUAACCGUAAGCCUGUCAACCGGCGUGCGGCGAGGGGAAUCCCAAAAGAUUGACUGCACUCGGAGAAAGUUGUAAGAAUCGGUUUUCGGACAGGGGUUCAAUUCCCCUCGCCUCCACCA
rnacentral:tmRNA from 1 species